AGAGUUUGAUCCUGGCUCAGGAUGAACGCUAGCGGCAGGCUUAACACAUGCAAGUCGAGGGGCAGCGGGGAGGAAGCUUGCUUUCUCCGCCGGCGACCGGCGCACGGGUGAGUAACACGUAUGCAACCUGCCCCUGUCAGGGGGACAACCCGCCGAAAGGCGGGCUAAACCCGCGUACAUGCCACCGGGGCAUCCCGGAGGCAGGAAAGGCUUCGGCCGGACAGGGAUGGGCAUGCGGCGCAUUAGGCAGUAGGCGGGGUAACGGCCCACCUAACCGACGAUGCGUAGGGGUUCUGAGAGGAAGGUCCCCCACACUGGUACUGAGACACGGACCAGACUCCUACGGGAGGCAGCAGUGAGGAAUAUUGGUCAAUGGUCGGGAGACUGAACCAGCCAAGCCGCGUGAGGGAGGAAGGUACAGAGUAUCGUAAACCUCUUUUGUCAGGGAACAAAGGCGGGGACGUGUCCCCGGAUGAGUGUACCUGAAGAAAAAGCAUCGGCUAACUCCGUGCCAGCAGCCGCGGUAAUACGGAGGAUGCGAGCGUUAUCCGGAUUUAUUGGGUUUAAAGGGUGCGCAGGCGGUCUGUUAAGUCAGCGGUCAAAGCCCGGGGCUCAACCCCGGCCCGCCGUUGAAACUGGCAGUCUCGAGUUGGAGAGAAGUAUGCGGAAUGCGCGGUGUAGCGGUGAAAUGCAUAGAUAUCGCGCAGAACUCCGAUUGCGAAGGCAGCAUGCCGGCUCCACACUGACGCUGAGGCACGAAAGCGUGGGUAUCGAACAGGAUUAGAUACCCUGGUAGUCCACGCAGUAAACGAUGAAUGCUGGCUGUCCGGGGGGACUGACCCCUGGGUGGCGAAGCGAAAGCGAUAAGCAUUCCACCUGGGGAGUACGCCGGCAACGGUGAAACUCAAAGGAAUUGACGGGGGCCCGCACAAGCGGAGGAACAUGUGGUUUAAUUCGAUGAUACGCGAGGAACCUUACCCGGGCUCAAACGGGGAGUGACUCAGGCAGAGACGCCUGUUUCCCACGGGACACUCCCCGAGGUGCUGCAUGGUUGUCGUCAGCUCGUGCCGUGAGGUGUCGGCUUAAGUGCCAUAACGAGCGCAACCCCCGCGUGCAGUUGCUAACAGAUAACGCUGAGGACUCUGCACGGACUGCCGGCGCAAGCCGCGAGGAAGGCGGGGAUGACGUCAAAUCAGCACGGCCCUUACGUCCGGGGCGACACACGUGUUACAAUGGGUGGUACAGCGGGAAGCCAGGCGGCGACGCCGAGCGGAACCCGAAAUCCACUCUCAGUUCGGAUCGGAGUCUGCAACCCGACUCCGUGAAGCUGGAUUCGCUAGUAAUCGCGCAUCAGCCAUGGCGCGGUGAAUACGUUCCCGGGCCUUGUACACACCGCCCGUCAAGCCAUGGGAGCCGAGGGCGCUUGAAGUGCGUCGCCGCGAGGCGCGCCCUAGAGCGAAAUCGGUGACUGGGGCUAAGUCGUAACAAGGUAGCCGU
rnacentral:rRNA from 1 species